AAAUUGAAGAGUUUGAUCAUGGCUCAGAUUGAACGCUGGCGGCAGGCCUAACACAUGCAAGUCGAACGGUAACAGGAAGAAGCUUGCUUCUUUGCUGACGAGUGGCGGACGGGUGAGUAAUGUCUGGGAAACUGCCUGAUGGAGGGGGAUAACUACUGGAAACGGUAGCUAAUACCGCAUAACGUCGCAAGACCAAAGAGGGGGACCUUCGGGCCUCUUGCCAUCGGAUGUGCCCAGAUGGGAUUAGCUAGUAGGUGGGGUAACGGCUCACCUAGGCGACGAUCCCUAGCUGGUCUGAGAGGAUGACCAGCCACACUGGAACUGAGACACGGUCCAGACUCCUACGGGAGGCAGCAGUGGGGAAUAUUGCACAAUGGGCGCAAGCCUGAUGCAGCCA
rnacentral:rRNA from 1 species